rnacentral:rRNA from 1 species
CCUACGGGAGGCAGCAGUGGGGAAUAUUGGACAAUGGGGGCAACCCUGAUCCAGCAAUGCCGCGUGGGUGAAGAAGGCCUGCGGGUUGUAAAGCCCUUUCAGUAGGGAGGAAAAGCUGAAGGAUAAUACCUUUCAGUGUUGACGUUACCUACAGAAGAAGCACCGGCUAACUCUGUGCCAGCAGCCGCGGUAAUACAGAGGGUGCGAGCGUUAAUCGGAAUUACUGGGCGUAAAGCGCACGUAGGUGGUUUGAUAAGUCGGAUGUGAAAGCCCCGGGCUCAACCUGGGAAUUGCAUUCGAUACUGUCUGACUAGAGUAUGGAAGGGGGGGGGGUGGGAAUUCCCGGUUGUAGCGGUGAAUGGUGUAGUAUCUCGGGAGAGGAAUACCAGUGGCGAAGGCGGCCCCCUGGACCAAUACUGACACUGAGGUGCGAAAGCGUGGGUAGCAAACA